rnacentral:tRNA from 1 species
GCGAGUAGCUUAGUGGCUAAAGCACCUGCCUUACAAGCAGGCUAUCGGGGGUUCGAGUCCCUCCUUGCCCA